AGUCAAAAUAUUUUUUUAAUAUAUAAGUAUAUAUAUUUACAUAUGUAGUAUGUAAUAAUAUAAUAUUUUAUAGCAUUUUUAUUAAUUAUACAGCGUUAUUUUCAUGAAAUUGAAUAAUAGGAACCACUUGAGAGUGCAGCUUCAGAUAAAUGUGAGACCAAGUUCUUAUCAGUUGUAAGUGUAUUUAGUUCAGGUUCUGGGUGAUUGCUUUAAUCCUCUCGUAUUCUCGGAUUAGUAUGGGACCACUGCUCACCACUCAGUGGUUUAAUUGUCCCAAACACUUGAUCUAACUAUUUUUUUUAUGUAAGAACAAUUCUAAUUGAAUAUGUAUUGAACUAGAUUCAUUUCGAUGCUAAUUCUGAAAAUUCCCUGUUAAAUGAGAGAACACAAAAAUCUGUAUAGGAAAAAUAAGUUCGAAUUAGAAUCAUUUGAAAUAACGUUUAGUUCCGAUGAAUUUUACAUCAGAAGCUUUUCCGACAGAAAGGAAUAUUUUAUUUAUUUAUGCAAUUUUGGCCGGCGCCACAUUAGGCAGAAUUUCUGUCACCGAAAAUCGUCAGCUGAAUCCGUCUAUAACGAAAUGGACUUUUUCUGCUCGACUGAAAAAUGCAAUGUAACAUAUCAAACGUGAAACUCGUUACAAACGGAAUCCAACCAGCGUUUUUUUUUUUUUUUUUUCGGUAACAGAAAUUCCAAAUGGAUUUCUGACCUUAUGAAAAUUUCUGUUGCUAUCCGCUUGGAUUAUGUUCAACAUACUGGACAACUAACUCUACUGAUUUAAUUUAUUGGCACUGUAACUGUAUUCGGCGUUUAAUCAGCCGAGAAAAUUUUGUCUUAAUUCUGAGUAGUGAUAGGAGCUAGCCUUACUCAGAAAUGUGUUAAACAUACAGAUUAUUUAUUUCUGUUCAACAAUUGAUAGCGAUCUGAUAUAGUAUAGUAUAGUACAUUGAACUUUCUACAUUUCAAUGAAAAUGUCAACUACAAAUCAACGAUCAAGUAUAAGCUAUUUAGCAAUUAAAUAAGACGUUC
rnacentral:lncRNA from 1 species